AUAUUUAUAGUCAAAGUAAGAAUUCUCAUAAACAAAUAACUUUAAUAAAUCCAAAGUCUAAAUUACAAAUACAAAUAAUAAUCCACAAGUACUUGUCUUACUUAACAAACUCGAAACAUAUGACGCAAGUUCAUAACUCAGUCUACAAAACAUAUUAUAUAUUUAAAACUUUAACAUCAAUGAGUCAAAGUUGUUUCAUAUUGAGGUUCCAUUUCUUCACCAUUUAAGUCCAAAGCUUGACUAACGUUGUCUUCAA
rnacentral:lncRNA from 1 species